rnacentral:rRNA from 1 species
GAUGAACGCUAGCGGGAGGCCUAACACAUGCAAGCCGAGCGGUAUUGUUUCUUCGGAAAUGAGAGAGCGGCGUACGGGUGCGGAACACGUGUGCAACCUGCCUUUAUCUGGGGGAUAGCCUUUCGAAAGGAAGAUUAAUACUCCAUAACAUAUUGAUUGGCAUCAAUUAAUAUUGAAAGCUACGGCGGAUAGAGAUGGGCACGCGCCAGAUUAGCUAGUUGGUGAGGUAACGGCUCACCAAGGCGAUGAUCUUGAGGGGGACUGAGAGGGUGAUCCCCCACACUGGUACUGAGACACGGACCAGACUCCUACGGGAGGCAGCAGUGAGGAAUAUUGGUCAAUGGGUGCAAGCCUGAACCAGCCAUCCCGCGUGAAGGACGACUGCCCUAUGGGUUGUAAACUUCUUUUGUAUAGGGAUAAACCUACCCUCGUGAGGGUAGCUGAAGGUACUAUACGAAUAAGCACCGGCUAACUCCGUGCCAGCAGCCGCCGUAA